rnacentral:rRNA from 1 species
AUUGAACGCUGGCGGCAGGCCUAACACAUGCAAGUCGAGCGAGCGGCGGACGGGGGAGUAAUGGCUGGGAACAUGCCGGUAGGAGGGGGAUAACUACUGGAAACGGUAGCUAAUACCGUAUACAAUCCGCUGUGCCCAGACGGGAUUAGCUAGUCGGUGGGGUAAUGGAGCACCUGGGCGACGAUCCCUAGCUGGUCUGAGAGGAUGACCAGCCACACUGGAACUGAGACACGGUCCAGACUCCUACGGGAGGCAGCAGUGGGGAAUAUUGCACAAUGGGCGCAAGCCUGAUGCAGCAAUGCCGCGUGUGUGAAGAAGGCUUUCGGGUUGUAAAGCACUUUCAGCGGGGAGGCGUUACCCGAAGAAGAAGCACCGGCUAACUCCGGGCCAGCAGCCGCGGUAAUAC